rnacentral:rRNA from 1 species
GAUGAACGCUGGCGGCGUGCCUAAUACAUGCAAGUCGAGCGAACAGACGAGGGGCUUGCUCCUCUGACGUUAGCGGCGGACGGGUGCGUCACACGUGGCUCACCUACCUAUAAGACUGGGAUAACUUCGGGAAACCGGAGCUAAUACCGGAUAAUAUAUUGAACCGCAUGGUUCAAUAGUGAAAGACGGUUUUGCUGUCACUUAUAGAUGGAUCCGCGCCGCAUUAGCUAGUUGGUAAGGUAACGGCUUACCAAGGCAACGAUGCGUAGCCGACCUGAGAGGGUGAUCGGCCACACUGGAACUGAGACACGGUCCAGACUCCUACGGGAGGCAGCAGUAGGGAAUCUUGCGCAAUGGGCGAAAGCCUGACGGAGCAACGCCGCGUGAGUGAUGAAGGUCUUCGGGUCGUAAAACUCUGUUAUUAGGGAAGAACAAAUGUGUAAGUAACUAGGCACGGCUUGACGGUACCUAGUCAGAAAGCCACGGCUAACUACGUG